rnacentral:rRNA from 1 species
AUUGAACGCUGGCGGCAGGCCUAACACAUGCAAGUCGAGCGGAUGAGGGGUGCUUGCACCCUGAUUCAGCGGCGGACGGGUGAGUAAUGCCUAGGAAUCUGCCCGAUAGUGGGGGACAACGUUUCGAAAGGAACGCUAAUACCGCAUACGUCCUACGGGAGAAAGUGGGGGCUCUUCGGACCUCACGCUAUCGGAUGAGC